GACACUCUUAAAGGGUGAUCUGAGACCAAACAGAGGCUGUUCUUGAUAGUCACAUAAAUCUCAUUUAGUCCAUAAACAUGUCUCUAUCUUUCUGAAGCACUGUAGAUUUCAUGUCCAUUGGAAAAACUUAAUUUCUAAGCAGCAGCGUUUCUUUGCUUUUGUAACUGGACAUGUGUUCUCCUGUAAUAACAUCCCUGUAAUGAUUUUCAUGUGCGCUGACUGCUCCCAUAUGCAAUGUGGGCUGGAGUUCUUUCUAGCUGAAAAUUCAGGAGUUUCCAAUGUACAUCCUUGUUCUUCCAUGCAAUAUAGUUUCGUACAGAUCUGUGUUGAUAAUGUGUCCUGUGGAGGUGUGUGAAAGGGCAGAGAGGGUCCUGCUUCUGUGGCAGGAUGCUCUGGCUCCAAGUUGGAGGGGGGAAAAUGGAACCAGACGUGACGAGUGAAUCUGGUGUUUCAGUCUGUGGUCAUUGUAAAUAGAGGCUGUUUCAGUUUAAUACCCUAUGUGCCAGGAGGGAUGGAUGUAAUAGGACAGCGUAUCUAAAUCUAGGAGUUUUCUUCUCUCAUUCUUAAGCUUGCUUUAUUGCUGAAUGUGGUUGCUGCUUAUAGGUGUGUCAAAUAGUAAGAUUUAACUGUAUUUCUUCAUUCUUCUUGCUCUCAGUUUUUGAACUGUUUCUAUCAGAGUGUUAAAGUAUCAUUCUGAGUACUCCCAGUCUGAUCUGGGCCUUAUUUUGUGAGCUGAUAUACGUAUGGGCCAUCUAGUGAUAACUUUAUCAUAAAGAGCUUCUGAGCUCCUGCUGUUCUUGUGUGGUUUUCAUUUGUUUCAUGCGACUUGAGGUCGGAAGGAGGCUCUUGACCUAAAUACUGUAUUAAUGUUUCACUGUCUUCUCAUUAGAUGUUUUCAUGAGGUUGUAAGUGUACUGGGAGACAAGAAAAAGGUUAUAGAUGAGUUCUGAAGUUGUUUAGCUGAACUUGGAAUAUCUUGGAGUGAGACAGAGAAGGAAAGAAUAGUGGAAAAAAGGCAGCAACUGAAGGGGGAAAAAAGUUGGAUGUGUUUUAUAACCAUAAAUGGUAAAAGUAACCUUGCUCUGCUGCCAGCAAGCAGAAAGAUGGAAUAAGGUUUUGAUUUACAAGAACAGCUCAGCAAGGGCGUUGUAGAGUGCUUCAUGCCUGCUAUAAAAAUGUGAUUAGCUAUAAAAUAGGAGAGAUUUAACAAUAAUUUAAGCAUCAACAACAGGCUGUUUCAUGCAGAAUGUGGAUGCCUGCUUUUAGAGUUCUGUGAAUACAAGCUAGUUUGGAAAACAUUACCUCUUUCAAGAGAGAAUGUGGAUUAUUUUUACAUAUUACCUGAACAUGUUACAUUUUGGUUAUUUGCCCAUCCAUCAUGAGGUCUCUAAAAUUAAGCAACAUUUAUCCUUAUAAUUGUUCCUUUAGAUAAUUAGACAGGCCCUAGGCUUUUACAGUAAGGUGCCUAAGGACAUUGAGGUAGAUAUGAGGUGCUUUUCUGUAAUUCCAGUAUUCUGUCUUGUUAUACAACCUUUGUGGUCUUUCCCUACCUGUAUAUUAGUGCUUUACUCAGGAAGGUAAAUUUGUCAACUUUAAGCUCCUGUGGUCAGUCUAGUAAAGCUUCAUAGGCAAAAGCCUUUCCCCACUUUACUGUUACCUAGUUUCCAGCCCUGGAGGGAUGGCAGCUCAGAGUUUAAAUCUUCAUAACAAGAAGGUUAUGAGCAAAUGACUUAUCAGCAAACAUUCCACGUAGAGUGUGGGGAGUAGAGGAACGGGAACAGCUGAAAUCUCACUGUAUGUCCUGUAUGCUGUAUGGGGCCUUUUGUUUGCAGAUCUUAAAUGAAGAUGCAUUCACUUGAAACAACAUAUUGGCUAAGGGAGAGGACUGUAGAACUGUGCCUUUGUGUUUGGAUUUUGAAGUCCAUCCCCUUUCCCCUCCCUGUCAUUAAGCUGUGGUGGGAAAACUCUACUAAUCAUUUUACCUUUAAAUAAUGGAAUUGUUUAGUUUGAAAAAGACCUUUAAAAUCAUUGAGUCCAACCAUUUUACCCAGCACUACCAAGUCCACCACUAAACUGUGUCCCUAAGCACCUAAGUCCUUUAAAAUACUUCCAGAGAUUAUGCCUCUACCACUUUCCUGGGCAACCUGUUCCAGGGCUUCAUAAUUACCUUGAAAAAGAUGGUCAUGAGGUCACAAUGUGUUACAUUAAGUGACUUCUUGCUAUGCUGUGGGUGUCUUGUGUAAAACUAUGAGUUUGAUCUGCUGUGCUCUUUCUCUAGUCUCUCAUUUCCUAGCUAGAAUGUGAAAACUUUUUCUCCAAUGUUAAUUACUUUACAGGAAUGUCUUUCUUGUGUCAAGUUACAGAAAUUAGGGCUAUCUGUUAAAGAAACUCAGUCAUACUAUAGUAGAAGCUGGUUUGCCUCUGUUUAUUCAUGGUGUAGCAUCUAAAGAGGAUCUCUCACUGUCAACUUGCAGUGUGAAGACAAGAACUCCAGAUGUUAGGAACUUGAGUUCUCAGUACACUGGGGAAAUUAGGACGAGUGAUCAAGAAACUGAUGAAAAUAAGGACUCUUUGGAGCACUGUUAUAGAAGAUGAACUUGUCUGGUCACACAUAAAUGUAUUUAGUUGGGAAUAAAAGAUAUAUUUCUGAAUUUUAAAAGUUCUCUCUGUCUUUAAAUUUGGUGAAUCUUUUUCCUAACGUGAUUGGUGAGUAUGCAGGCCUCUGUCAAAAGGCCAUAUAAUUAAGCCUCUCCCCAAUCAAGAGCGGGUGAAGGGCUGAGGUGGCAGAUUAGUGUUCCUUUAAAUACCUCAUGUUUAUGCAUGUAUUUAUGAUCAUAUGUGCUCCAAAAGGAGAUUAAAAAAAUUAUUGUUGUUCUUUCCCACGUUCCUAGGGUCACAUACCUCUGGUGUGGGAUUUCUGCAUGCCAGAUGCAUCUAGAGAAUGCUGUUUGCUGCUGUUUCUGCUGCCAGAGCAACUGCGAUGAUAUUGUGUCUCAGGCAGACAAGGAUAAGUGUCCCUUCAGGGAGACAAACUGGUGUUCAUCUACGUAGGGGGAUCCCAGAAAAACUACCAAAUACCCCUGUUGCUAUAUUUUUGAAUGUAUUAGAGAAACCUUUUGGGGGUGGAAGGAGGUGUAGGUUAUAGUUUAGAGGAAAACUGUCAUGAACAGCCCUGUAAUUAUGGGGUGGCUUAUCAACUCUGAUAACUUGUCAAAUUUCACUGUCCUCUUUAAGGGAAUUAUUUGGGAAAGGUAGAGUAGCGUGGGGGUGGAGAAUAAGCUCCUCAUGCCAAGGCACUUGCCACUUGGCAGCUGGCCACCUUUUUUAAUGUUUUAUUUCCUUCAUGACAUAUUGUUGUCUGCCCUCACCUCUGUUUCAGCUCUUAGGCCCUGGCAACAGAGAGAUCAGGUUAGGUUAACUACUAUAUUGUUUAAAAACCAGUAGACUGAUAAGUACAGCAGUCUUCAAUGUGGGUUUCUAACAAGAUUUUCAACCAAAAACCAACGUGAAACAUGAUCUUGAACAAAAGUACUUCAUUGUUUCACUCCUCGCUGCUAGCAUAGCAUCAAACGAUCACUGGAUUUCAGAUUUAUAAGCACCACUUGUUAAUGUCAAGGAUUUAUUACAUAUUAUCUUUGUUGAUUGCUGGAAAUGAAUAUGUUCCUUUUAAAAAAAGUACCAUAAAUUAUUAACUUGCUUGGAAUACAAGUGUAAUUCUACAUUAACCCUCCCUAAAUAUAUUGACAAAUUCUGCUUUGUUACUCCAGUGCAGUUACAGGGUUCUGACGCCUCACACAGCUGAGUAGCAUCUGCUGCUGAUGCCCUCUGUUUCUAGCAGCACUUUUGAAAAAGUUAGGCAACAACUAACUGUAAAUUAAUUAAAUCUUGAAUGUACUUUCUUUUGUAGUUGAGGCUGCUGUGAAAUUCCUUCACUAGUGGGCAGUGCCUUUUUAACUGAUUCACAAUAGACUCAGCGUCAGAAGUGAUGGAAAGUCUGUCGCUGAUUUCCCCCACUCAUCAUAGGCUAAAGUGGUGGGCUGGGUGAUCAGACUCAGUGACCUGAAAUUGCUGAGAUGCAGGGUUUUGUAAUAGACUUAAUUUUCUUUUCAGUGUCAAGGACAGGAUAGUGCUAAAUGAAAUCUCAAUUCUGUGAAAUGAUUACUCCCCGUACUGGGUUUGUGUGGCUAUUGGGGCAGCUUCUUUGAGAACCACCAGAAGCUUCUGCCAUGUCCAGCAGAGCCAGUGCCAGCCAGCUUCAAAACAGACCCACCACUGACCAAGGCUGAGCACAUCAGUGGCAGUGGAAGCACCUCUGGGAUAACAUAUUUACAAAGGGGAACAAAUUACAGCACAACAUCAGCCAGGAGAGAGGAAUGAGAAGAUGUGAGAGAAACAGCCCUGCAAACACCAGUAAAGGAAAGGGAGAAUGUGUUCCAAGAGUUUGUGGAGGAUGUUUCCCAUGGAAGGGAGCCCAGAGUGAAGCAGAGGAGUGUGAGGAAUCCUCCCCCUGAGGAGAAAGCAAUGACAGAGACAACGGAUGAUGAAAUUACUGAAAUCCCCAUUGCCCAUCCCCCUGUGCUGCUGGAGAUCUGGAGGUAGAAAAAUCAGGAGUGAAGCUGAGCCCAGGAAAAAGAGGGCUUGGGGGAAGGUGUUUUUUAAGAUUUGGUUUCAUUCCGCAUUAUCCUACUCUGAUUGGUAAUUAUUUAAGGUAGUUUCUGCAAAUUAAGUCUGUUUUGCCCAUGACAGUAGUUGGUGAGUGAGCUCUUCUCCCUGCCCUUAUCUCAACCCAUGAGCAUUUGAUUAGAUUUUCUCUCCCUUGCCCUGUUAAGGACAAGUGAUAGAGGGCUUUAGUGAGCACCUGGCACACAGCCAGGGUCAACUCACUGCAUUCCUUAAGAUGUUGAACAAUGCCAGGUCUUGGCCCUGCAGAAGGCAAGCAUAGGGUGGAGUACACCUGCUCCAUCUUUUACUGCCUUGUUGAGUAUCAGCACCUCCUGUUUUCUUGGUGUGGUGCUGCAGCUGCUUGGUGGUCAUCAGCAGAGCAUACUCAGCCAGUUCUGGUUGGGGACUGAAUUUGGUAAGCUUUCACAAAAAUUUAUGAAACCCACGUGAAUAUACAAAAUAUACCAGUCAAAGACUAAUCUAUGCAACCUUACUGAGGAAUGGUUCACAGUCUAGGUGCACUGGCAUUCUCUGCUUUUCCCCUUGGAAUGCUCUACUGAGUUAGGAAAUCUCCCUUCUGAGAUCACGCUAAAUGCACUGACUGUCAAAGUAUGUGUUUGCAAAGGAUGGAAUUGCAAGAGAAUUUUAUCUUGGGUUGUAGAGAAAUAUGAUCAGACACAGACUAUAUCAGGCCACUGGCACAGGCACUUGAGGCCUGGAGAGAUUUUGUGUGAAAAACAGCACAGUGCUUGAUGUUCCAGUCAAAAGCCAUCCUCGCACAGUCACGGCUGGUUGUGUAGUAACUUGGCAGCAUCAGUGUGGUCCUGGUUUGCCUUGUGCUGUUAAACUGUUUAAAGGCUGUACAGUUCCUUAGUGGCAAGAACUUUUUCCACUAUAUUCUUCUUCUUCAUCCUUUUUGUUUUUUCAUGGUACACCUCUUGUUUUUAUAGUUCUUUAAUGGAGAGGUACUGGGUCUUCUAGUCUGUUUCCAUGGAAACACCCAAUUAGAAGAUUAAUUUGAAGAGAUUGAGACACAGCUGCCAAAACUCCUAAAGGGAGAGAGGGGUGGAGAGAAAGGGGAGAAGAUUUGGGCUGGCAAAAUGCAAGCAACAUUGCCUGUCCUCUGCCAGCUAUUUCAUAACACUUGUGUGUAAAUUCAUAUCUGACUGUACAUCUUGCACCAAUUUGGUUUAAGCUACAUCUGUAAUGAAUUUUAAAACUAUAAUUGAGUCUGGUGCUCAGCAUAUGUGAUGUUAAUGCUUGGAAUGUAAAAUUUUUUUCUUGUUGCAUUGCUUCUUUCAUAUGUUUUUCAUCAGGCAGUGGCCAAGACUUGAGACCAAAAAGGGAAGGGAGAGGAAUUAGAGCAUCUCUGUCUUGCCAAUGUCUCAUGUAAACACACAUGUUGAAAAGACAGUUUUCUGUCCCUUUGACACAGAACAGGAUAACCCAGGUAUCAGUGAUUCAAUGAUUCUCAAACCAUUUAUAAAGGAAGAAAAACCAAAACCAAACAUUUCACUGAGUUUUCUGGUAGUCAGAUGAUUAACAUAUAUGCCUGUCUUCUUUUGACUCAGUGGAAGCAGUUGGGAACUGAUUCAUAUGAGAACAGGAGAAAAGAAGGAAAAACUAAUGAAGCAAAAAUUGAGUACUACAUGUGUCCUUUUCCAUAGGUGAAAAAUCUAUUAUUUGCAUAUAUGAAAACAUACCCAUACACCAAGAAUGAUCUCUGUAGUUAAAGGGAUAUCUUUGCUGCUGCCUUUCACAUAGGAAAGAGGAUGAAAAUUUAAAUCUGUGAUAGGAUGUUAGGCAUUGUUCAUACCCACAGAAAUGUGUGCUGUGAUGACAAUUUGCAAGCACACUUUAAUUUCUGUUUUCUCACAAAAUAAUUGGGCUUUCUCAGUAUUUUUUUAUGAAGUGUUAUCUAGACUGACCCUAAGACUCCUUACUUUCCUUCCUGACUAUUGGUCUGUCUUCCAAGACUCAAAACAACAACAAAGAAAUCUCCACCAAACCUACUAAAUGAGCUGAAAACAAACAAAAUAGUCCCCCUCGCCCUGAAAAAAAACCAAUCCAAAUGAGAAAAAAACCCACACAUAAAUUCCACCCUCAAACCCAUACUUUUAUCAGAGAAGCUUUGGUACAGGAGCAGGUUAGAAAUCUGGUGUUCUUUAAGGAAGGCAAUUGCAGAUGCUAUCCAAUAUUCAUGGGUAAUUCCUUGCUCUGAUCACCAGCAAGAUAACUCUGAGCCUCUUGGUUGACAGAUUUUCAGCCAUGGCUUUGAGUGUUUUUCCCAUUUUCACAGCCUCUGUUGCCUUCUGUGCAGCUAAAGGAAUAGGUUUGUGCCGUCCUUCUUUCCUCUUCUGUGACCUUGCCCUGUGUUUGUGUCCUUACAGCAAAAUGGGCACUUAGUUGACUAAGAACAUCACCUUCCCAUGGCAUUGUGAGUAAUACUUUUAGGACCUUAGGACUUGGCAGAGCAGCUGCUGUAGUACCUUCUUGGAUAUGUAAUCACUCACCACACUGUCAAACUGCAGUGUUCAUGAAUAUUUUAGAUCUGACAGAUCUCAUAAUUGAUAAAGCUUCAGUGUUUUGGGUCUUCGGGAAAUGCUUUGUGGGUUACUGAAACUUUUCAACUUUCAUUACAAAAAGUAAAGGCAGCAUAGUUUAACAUUUUAAAUUCAGUUAGUUGAAAUGGAAAUCUUACAGGAAUCUCCUCUGACUAUCAUUUGCCAACCAGGUACAUGUUACAUUUAACCUCAGGGAAAGCAAGGAUGCUCUAAGAGUUCAUGCAAUGCAGUAUUGCAAGAAAGCAAGUAUUUUGUGUUGCUGGUUAAAGAUUAGAAUAGAAAACCAUCAUUAAGGGUAACAGGUGAGGUGUGAUUUAGCUGUUGCUGCCUUUUUUCUGUAGACUAGAUGGGAGAUCAGUCUCUUUUCUGUUUAGGUUGUCAUGUGUAUUUUCCACAGAACGGAGUUUCUCUUGAUAGAAUCAAAAGUCUUAAAAAGCAACCACCUUUAGGAAAUAAGGUCCUCCCCAACAAUAUGGUAGAAACCACUUAUGCAAAGACAUCUGCAAGAAACAUGCAGUGAACUGACAAACUUAAACUCUUCUCUUAAAGGAGACUGACAGUAUCAUAUUUAGCACCACAUGUUUAUAUAAAUGCGGAUAUAUAUGCAUAUAGGACCUUACUAGCCAGCAGUUCAGAGUAAUACUGGGUGCUUGAGCAAAGUGUUGACUAGUGUGUGUAGUUAAUUAGAUGUAAGCAUCUAACGAGCCCUGUCAGCAGUUGCUUCCUAUUAAAUCAUUAUCUGUUACAGAAACAUGUUGAUACAGUUUUCUUUCAAUACUAGAGUUAGAAUAGAUGUAUGAAAACUACAUUUGUUGAGUAGAUUUCAGGUCUAUGUUGCUAAACACUAUCCCUUUCGAUAGAAGUGGAUCGGAUUGAAUUUGUUUUAGUUGCUUCUAAUAAUGGCAAUAGUGAUGGCUGUUGUGGGUUUUAGCAAAUGUUAGUAUUUUUCCUGAUGCAUCAAAGUCUAGACUGAACAUGGAGAGAUUGAAAUGCCUGAGCAAGUAACAUCAUCUUUUUAAUAUUCCUCUCUAAAUUUAGUAUGGGCAGUCAAUGUAGCUUGGCAUUAGAAAAGCUUUUUAAAGGAAUUACCUUGUAAUACUUACCUUUUUUAAUGGUCUUCUUUAAAUACUUCUAGGUUUACAAGAAAAAUAGUUUCCCAUUUGAUUCUGCACCUGUAGUGAAGCAGGAGCUGUGAAAUAGUUUCUUGUAGCAAAAUUAGCAAAAACAUGCCUUCCAUAGAAGCAACCAAAUAAAUCACAAAACCCCCAAAUCUCCUGUUAUGACCAAGCCCUUCUAUAAAUGGUAGUAUUUUGCUUGUGUGAUGUAUCUUCUUCAUACUAACUUUUCUGCUCGUAGAUCUUUAAGUCUUUGCAUAUGUAUAGCUUAAGCCAUAUCACAUGAGCUGUCUGCUUCCUGCUUCUUGCUUUUUAUCAGCAAGGGUUGUGCCAGUGUCAGUCUUCCAAGUUUGCUUUUUUCCUUCCUGGUAUUCUGAUUAACUACAGCUUUGCUAAGUUUUCUUGAGAGGGAUUUUUUUCUAGCAUUUGUUACUGAUGUUUUUGUAAUGGAAAGUUUAUAGUCUAAAAUUAAUUGUUAGCUGAUUUUAUUUGGUAGCAGUGAUUUUCUGCAAUGUCCCAGGCAAUUUUGGGAGACCCUCAAAAACUUGGUUGUGCUGUAUUUAUUAACUCCUUCUCUGCAUGUGUGGCUGCAGCAUUCUUUUAUGGUUUCUUUAUUAUGAAAUAAUAAAGUGUUCUUUUUUUAUGAAAUUAGUUUAUUUGCGUAUUUGAUUUUUUUUUUUGUUGCUUGUUUGGUUUUUGUUUUUUUUUUUUUUUUUUUAAAUGACAUUGUACUUAAACAAAGUAUUGCUUUAUGCAAUACUCUAUAAUAAUGAUUUUUAGUCAUCACUCCUAAGGACAAGUGAGAAAAGUAGCAGGAGCCAGACUCUGAGUUUGAACUCUUUUUCAGCAUUUGGCUUUGGGAUUUGAUCCCAGUGAAAAUUCACAUUGUCCUGCUUCCAAGGCUGCCUUUCAAAUACACUUUGUGCUGGCUUUCUUUAUUCCCACCGACAUAACUGAAAGUAUCCUUAAGCCUUUUCUGAAUCCUGAUUGGUAUGAGGAAAUAAAUUAUGAAUGAGACUUAUAGAACAGGAGUCUUAAGCUUGCUGUUAGCCAUUUUUACACCAUAUACACACCAAAUUUAUCUCUAGGAUUAUCUUACCUGCAUGCCCACUAUUUGCUUAACUGUGAAAAAAUGAAGAAAUAGCAAAAUAGGUGCAAGUAAUCAGCAAAUCUACAACAGAUCCUUGCAGUGGCAGAUCAUACAAAUAUACAAUAGACCAGAAUUAUAGUAGUGAAAAACAUGAAGUUUAAAACAGCCUAGAAUGGCUUUUUGAAGGGCCAUUUGUAGUUUGCCAGUUGUUGAAAUCUAUUCUUUGUUCUCAAAGCAUUUUUGCAGGUGCUGGAAAACACAUUGAGCUUAUCUGAUGAGUGACAGUUGUUAUUUAAAAAAAGUCGCGUGUUAGAAAAGCAGGCGCCGCUAAACAAGAAGAUCUGACAGCUCCAUCUGUAAUGUUUUUGCUGGCAAAGUAAUUGAGAUACUGUUCCAAAGUCUGUGCAAAGCAUGCUGCAAACCUCUAACACUGGAAAGAACUUAAAAGUUUAAUGUGUUCUGGCUUCACGUUACACAAACAGGGGGUCCCUAUGGUCCUAUAUUGAUUGGGCUUGUGUUCCACCACUGUUUUUGUGGGUAUAUGCUAGCCCAUAAAAUCACAUUUUUGUUUUUGCCUGCCAACUCGCUUCUAUUGCUUUGUCUAUUAGACUACAGUGGUUAAGUGCUACAGCUGGUGUGCUCAGGGAUCCAAUGCAGAACAGCCAAACCAUUAGCUUUUAGGCUGAUAAGCCUGAGAGAAACACCUGCAAUUGGAUAGGACAAUUAAAAGUAUGUCAUGAAUUGUCAGAACUGCUUUAUGCUGUUUGGUGUAUCCCCUGCUAUCACCACAGGCUAAUAUCAAAAGCACUACAAAUACUUAGCAGCACAUCUCUAGCAGUCACAGCCUUAUAAAAUGACUGCUGUCAUUAACUCAGGGGUAGUUAGACGGGGAGAAGACCCUGAAGUGAAAGAUCAUGUUUCACAUACUCCACUUUUUUUUCAUCUGUUCCUUCUCUAACCUUACAACUUUUGGGUUUUGGUAGGGCAAGGGGUGAUGGUAGAUUAAGACUAGAUAGAAGGAAGAAGAUUUUUACUGUCAUGGUGGUGAAACACUGUCAUAGGUUUCCCAAAGAGGUAGUGGAUUUGCCAUCCCUAGAAACAUUAAAGGUCAGGUUGGAAGGUGCUGUGAGCAACCUGAAGCUCUGGAGGAUAACUGGAUGUUAAAUUUUAAAACCAAAGUAUUUUACAAUUUCAUUAUAAUCCUGAAAUAUCACUAUAUGUUUAGAUAUAAUAAUAUGUAUUAUUCUAACUCAUUAAAAUAUAUUGUGCAGUAUUCUAGAAGAACAUGUAAUAUAUUGUAUUACCAUUUUUCUUUAACCAUAUUUGGGUGAUUUUUUCUGUUUGUUGUUUGUUAGUUUUGUGAAGCGGGUCAAAGUCUAUUUUUAGUUACUCCGUCUGAAUAAGGAAUGAGGUUUUUUUACCUCAAAAAAUUCUGCCAAUGUCUUGCAGGGCAGGAAUACUGCAA